rnacentral:rRNA from 1 species
UACGUAGGGUGCGAGCGUUAAUCGGAAUUACUGGGCGUAAAGCGUGCGCAGGCGGUUCGCUAAGACCGAUGUGAAAUCCCCGGGCUCAACCUGGGAAUUGCGUUGGAGACUGCAAGGCUGGAGUCUGGCAGAGGGGGGUAGAAUUCCACGUGUAGCAGUGAAAUGCGUAGAGAUGUGGAGGAACACCGAUGGCGAAGGCAGCCCCCUGGGUCAAGACUGACGCUCAUGCACGAAAGCGUGGGGAGCAAACAGG